rnacentral:rRNA from 1 species
CUAUGCGCCUUGCCAGCCCGCUCAGUCAGAGUUUGAUCCUGGCUCAGGAUUAACGCUGGCGGCGUGCAUAACACAUGCAAGUCGAACGAUGAAACUUAGUAGACUUCUUCGGAAAGACACUAAGCGGAUUAGUGGCGAACGGGUGAGUAACGCGUGAGUAACCUGCCUUACACAAGGGGAUAGCCUUUGGAAACGAAGAAUAAUACCCUAUAAAACCAUAAAAGCACAUGCUAGAAUGGUCAAAGUGAUAGCGGUGUAAGAUGGACUUGCGUCUGAUUAGCUAGUUGGUGAGAUAAAAGCUCACCAAGGCAACGAUCAGUAGCCGGCUUGAGAGAGUGUACGGCCACAUUGGGACUGAGACACGGCCCAG